UCCUCUCCCUAUUUCGUGUUCUACAUAUGUCUUCUCUUUUUCCUCCACAACUGCAACUCAUGCAGAACAUAGAGGCAUAGUCACCUGCUCUCUCUUACUCUCAUUCCUUCGUUUUCUCCUUUUCAAAUGCAGCUAUCGCAGCCAUCGCCGCUGCCACUACCACAGUCGUAGCCACGAUCGCCCCUUCCGUCACAACCGCAGCCCCUUCCACUGUACUACUUCCUUCCUCCCUUCUCUCGUUCCUACAUUUUUCUUUCCCAAACACAGCUGCC
rnacentral:lncRNA from 1 species